rnacentral:rRNA from 1 species
AUUGAACGCUGGCGGCAGGCCUAACACAUGCAAGUCGAGCGGAUGAAGGGAGCUUGCUCCUGGAUUCAGCGGCGGACGGGUGAGUAAUGCCUAGGAAUCUGCCUGGUAGUGGGGGAUAACGUCCGGAAACGGGCGCUAAUACCGCAUACGUCCUGAGGGAGAAAGUGGGGGAUCUUCGGACCUCACGCUAUCAGAUGAGCCUAGGUCGGAUUAGCUAGUUGGUGGGGUAAAGGCCUACCAAGGCGACGAUCCGUAACUGGUCUGAGAGGAUGAUCAGUCACACUGGAACUGAGACACGGUCCAGACUCCUACGGGAGGCAGCAGGGGGGAAUAUUGGACAAUGGGCGAAGCCUGAUCCAGCCAUGCCGCGUGUGUGAAGAAGGUCUUCGGAUUGUAAAGCACUUUAAGUUGGGAGGAAGGGCAGUAAGUUAAUACCUUGCUGUUUUGACGUUACCAACAGAAUAAGCACCGGCUAACUUCGUG